AAUGAUCGAAGCAGUACAAAUCAGGGGAGAACGUGCCCAAGACCUGGAGAACUGAUAAUAAAUUGUGGUUUAUCCUUGCAAUGGAACACUAUAUGGAAGUGAAAAUGAUUGAAAUAGAGCUAUACACAUCAUCACAGACAAAUUUCAGAAACAACGCUGAGUGAAAAAUCCACCCACAAAUGAAUUAUCAGGAGUGAACCCAGAGGCACGUAUGAAUGAAAGUCCACAGACAAACGAAUUUAAAGGAACAACCGAGGAGGCACCUGCGAAAGAAAGCCCACACACAAGUGAAUUUAAAGGAGCAGCCCUGGUGUCACCUAUCAGUAAAAGAAUAUUUGGAGUUUUCCUGGUCUUACUGGAUGUCACUCUCCUCCUUGCCGACCUAAUUUUCACUGACAGCAAACUUUAUAUUCCUUUGGAGUAUCGUUCUAUUUCUCUAGCUAUUGGCUUAUUUUUUCUCAUGGAUGUUCUUCUUCGAGUAUUUGUAGAAGGAUGGACACAUUUAGUUCGACUUCUACGACUUAUUAUUCUGAUAAGAAUUUUUCAUCUGCUUCAUCAAAAAAGACAACUUGAAAAGCUGAUGAGAAGGCUGGUUUCAGAAAACAAAAGGCGAUACACAAGGGAUGGAUUUGACCUAGACCUCACUUACGUUACAGAACGUAUUAUUGCUAUGUCAUUUCCAUCUUCUGGAAGGCAGUCUUUCUAUAGAAAUCCAAUUGAGGAAGAACCGGGACUAUGGUUUGUGCCCUCCUUAUUGCCUCCGAAAUAUUUUUAACUGCCGAGGAAAGCCUAUAUUAUUUUGGAGAAAGGCGAACCAAUAAAACCCACAGCAAUAAAUUUCAGGGAGUAGAAACUCCUUCUCAGAAUAGAUAUGUUGGAUAUUUUGCACAAGUGAAACAUCUCUACAACUGGAAUCUCCCUCCAAGACGGAUACUCUUUAUAAAAAGAUUCAUUAUUUAUUCGAUUCGUGGUGAUGUAUGUGAUCUAAAAGUCCAAGUAGUAAUGGAGAAAAAGGUUGUCUUUUCCAGUACUUCAUUAGGAAAUUGUUCGAUAUUGCAUGACAUUGAAACAGACAAAAUAUUAAUUAAUGUAUAUGACGGUCCACCUCUGUAUGAUGAUGUGAAAGUGCAGUUUUUCUCUUCGAAUCUUCCUAAAUACUAUGACAAUUGUCCAUUUUUCUUCUGGUUCAACACGUCUUUUAUUCAAAAUAACAGGCUUUGUCUACCAAGAAAUGAAUUGGAUAAUCCACAUAAACAAAAAGCAUGGAAAAUUUAUCCACCAGAAUUUGCUGUGGAGAUACUUUUUGGCGAGAAAUGACUUCCAAUGAUGUUGUAGCUGGAUCCGACUAAGUAUAGCUCCCCCUUCCCCUUCUGGGAAAGAAUUAUGUUCUUUCCAACCCCUGCCACAUGUUCAUGUGUCCUAAGUCUUCCUUGAUGAUGCAUCUAUAUUUAUAUAUGUUUAUAUAUGUUCUUCAUAAAUCUAUUAAAUAUAUAUAGAUAA
rnacentral:lncRNA from 1 species